rnacentral:rRNA from 1 species
CCACACUGGUACUGAGACACGGACCAGACUCCUACGGGAGGCAGCAGUGGGGAAUAUUGGACAAUGGGCGCAAGCCUGAUCCAGCCAUACCGCGUGGGUGAAGAAGGCCUUCGGGUUGUAAAGCCCUUUUGUUGGGAAAGAAAUCCAGCUGGCUAAUACCUGGUUGGGAUGACGGUACCCAAAGAAUAAGCACCGGCUAACUUCGUGCCAGCAGCCGCGGUAAUACGAAGGGUGCAAGCGUUACUCGGAAUUACUGGGCGUAAAGCGUGCGUAGGUGGUCGUUUAAGUCCGUUGUGAAAGCCCUGGGCUCAACCUGGGAACUGCAGUGGAUACUGGGCGACUAGAGUGUGGUAGAGGGUAGCGGAAUUCCUGGUGUAGCAGUGAAAUGCGUAGAGAUCAGGAGGAACAUCCAUGGCGAAGGCAGCUACCUGGACCAACACUGACACUGAGGCACGAAAGCGUGGGGAGCAAACAGGAUUAGAUACCCUGGUAGUCCACGCCCUAAACGAUGCGAACUGGAUGUUGGGUGCAAUUUGGCACGCAGUAUCGAAGCUAACGCGUUAAGUUCGCCGCCUGGGGAGUACGGUCGCAAGACUGAAACUCAAAGGAAUUGACGGGGGCCCGCACAAGCGGUGGAGUAUGUGGUUUAAUUCGAUGCAACGCGAAGAACCUUACCUGGCCUUGACAUGUCGAGAACUUUCCAGAGAUGGAUUGGUGCCUUCGGGAACCCGAACACAGGUGCUGCAUGGUUGUCGUCAGCUCGU